GGGCGGGUAGCGCAGUGGUCAGCGUGUUCCGUGAGCGUCAUCAGCGUUGUUUUCUAUUCCAAAUCUAUCACAAAAGCGUUCAUUGAAAGACCUGGGUUCGAAUCCCAGCCCGCCCA